CAUAGGAACGGAACAUAUGCAGGUAUAUACAUAUAAAUACAUUUCACAGAAUAACACAAUGUUAGGAAUUGGAAGGGACCUUGAAAAAUCAUUUAGCUCAUAUAUAAAUAAUGACAAGUGCCAAGGGGCACAACAAAGUCGUUUCUCCGCCACCAUUCUCAGGAGCUGCCCCCACAGCCAGAGCCUUGCUGCAGAUAUAAGGCCGGCUCUGCCAACAGCUUGAAGUCGCCACGUCCUCGCCAUUCAAGUAGACGCACUCUGCGCCGCCCUGCACUGUGAACCUGCGACGACAAGGAAUGCCACUGCAGCCUCAGCACUCCCCGUGCCCUCUGGCAGCAGUGCACAGCCAGGACUGCCUGCAAGGCAUGGUCCCGGCACACCAGAGCCGCUGGGCUCUGCCCGCUCGCAGAACUCACGUCUCCUUGAAGCUGCUGCCAUCCACCCACAGCAGGCGCUCACCCCGUCUCCGCAGCCCAAGCCAGGAAUCCGCGCUGUCUUUGAGUUGUCUCAGAAAGUUCUGGGCGGCAAGGAGAGAGGCAGAUGGUCAGAAGCUGCUGGAGUACCACGCUCCCGUCAGCCCCACGGGACUCGCUGCCCCGCUGCGGGACAUCCAGCCUGGCUGUCCCAGCCCCACAGCCACCCAUCACCCCGCACUCACCAAUUCCCAGUCCCUCAUCACCAUGGCCAGCGAGGCCCCAUGUGUUGUGCACUGCUCCUGGCUCCAAUUCCAGCUGCCUAGCUUCUGCUGCCCCGACAGGUAGUAGCAGACGUUGCGGUACCCAACCCAUUCGUAAGGGCACGCCAGCACCGGGGCUGCCUUCUGCCUGUGCACAGCUGUUGCAGAGCAAAGAG